rnacentral:tRNA from 1 species
ACAAUUGUGGCCGAAGGGUUAAGGCGAUCGGUUUAAGUCCGACUGGAGGAAACUCCGUUGUGGGUUCGAAUCCUACCAAUUGUA